AAGGUGUUCCCUGAAAAACCUGAAAUAGAGUAAGGA
rnacentral:ncRNA from 1 species